UCGGGAAUUUUGGGCAAUGGGGGAAACCCUGACCCAGCAACGCCGCGUGAAGGAUGAAGUAUUUCGGUAUGUAAACUUCGAAAGAAUAGGAAGAAUAAAUGACGGUACUAUUUAUAAGGUCCGGCUAACUACGUGCCAGCAGCCGCGGUAAUACGUAGGGACCAAGCGUUGUUCGGAUUUACUGGGCGUAAAGGGCGCGUAGGCGGCAUGACAAGUCACUUGUGAAAUCUCCGGGCUUAACUCGGAACGGUCAGAUGAUACUGCUUUGCUAGAGUGCAGAAGGGGCAAUCGGAAUUCUUGGUGUAGCGGUGAAAUGCGUAGAUAUCAAGAGGAACACCUGAGGUGAAGACGGGUUGCUGGGCUGACACUGACGCUGAGGCGCGAAAGCCAGGGGAGCAAACGGGAUUAGAUACCCCAGUAGUCCCUGAGCGGGCUGGCAAGGCGCAU
rnacentral:rRNA from 1 species